rnacentral:lncRNA from 10 species
AGAUGAGGACAAAAUUGGACCCUUGCAAAAGGCAAACUUAGAUGAGUGCACUCACCUACUUAUUCCAUUACUGAUGAGAUGUAGGAUGAGAGGUUGAGCAAUGAACAGGCACACAACACCCUGGGUCAUCCACAGCCCAUGGCAACUGCGCACACACAGCCUCUGGAGGACUUCAGAGCUCACAGGUUAACUGCUGUUUGCCUCAUAAUGACUCCUGUGUCUUGUGCUGGUGGAUUUGGGUUCCUUUAGCAAUGGGUCAUAAGGCUGCUAUAGAAUGCUUUAUUUUGUUUCUUUUCCCUGAGUAGGCUAAAUAUGUCCUAGGUUUUAAAGCCACUUUUUGAAGAGAGACGUUUGCUGAGCUGCAUUUUUACAAUACACUCUAUUCCAUGAGGCACAUGAUGGAGUUCAAGGAUUGCUCAUCAUUAUCCAGUUGGACACUAGGACAAGAAACUUCUGGAAAACAGUUUUACUCCAGGGCAUCUGCUCCUCCCAUCAACAUAUUACCUUCUUAAGCUCCUUAAGGAAAAUGACUAUAGAAAAUUGGAGGGGGUGUCCAGAAAAAGCACAGAGAUUUGGAAGUCUACACAGAAUUUCAAGUUCCUGUUCAAAGAUUACACUUAAACACACCUUGAUGGGCUUAGUCACUCAAUUGAAUAGGGUAUUCCAGGAGAUGCUGAGGUCCUUUUACUGUACUGUUCGAGCUGAGACUAAAAGACCAUCCUAUUGAGUGGGAGAGGACGAAUAAAACAGUCUCGGAGCUUCUAUGUUUCCGGUUACCUCUUGGGACAAUGAAGAACCAGCUCCAACGACAGCGAGGAGACCAACCCUUUCUUGUUGCCUCUUUCUUUCUCUCCAUCCUAAGGAGAGGCUCUUCGGGGACAAGAAGUAGAGAAGAGAAGAUCACUGGAGAAGGGUGUUAAAAGGAGGCUUCCGGCCAGGCACUGUGGCUCAUGCCUAUAACCCCAGCACUUUGGGAGGCCGAGGUGGGCUCAUUGCUUGAGCCCGGGAGUUCAAGACCAGCCUGGGCAACAUGACUAAACCUCGUCUCUACAAAAAACACAAAAAUUAGUCAGGCAUGUGCCUGUAGUCCCAGGUAUUCAGAGGUGAGGUGAGAGGAUCACUUGAGCCCAGGAGGUCGAGGCUGCAGAGAGCUGAGAUGGCACCACUGCACUCCAGCAUGGGUGACAGAUCGAGACCCUGUCUUUAAAAAAAAAAAAGAAACUUUCUUCAUUCUUAUUUUUACCUUAUGAUUUCCACAGGACUAAAAAACUUUCAUUAAGUAAUUUCUAUAGGACUAAAAGAGCCCCAGUGAAAUUUCUAUUUGGGAGCCGAAGAUUUACAUUCAUAUCCGUCAUCAUUAAACAAAUAUUUAUGCAAUGCUGGCAAUGUGAAAUGUCUCAUGGAGACUAAAUGAGGGAUUAACUGCAAAGGACAUAGCCCAGAACAGCAUAUAAACAACAAACGGGAGUUCCCUUUGGCCACCAGGGCCGUGCUGGUACGUCACUCUGGAAACGUUCUGUUGUUUCAUUUGAGGAUUAGCAAAACCCCUGUCUCCGUUCUGCUUCUUUGUAUUAAAAUGAAAAGCUCCUCUGUUCUUUAACGUAUUAUGUUCAUAGCAUAAUAAAUAUCUGCAACUCAAUUCAUGGGUGUUCUGUAUCCGCAUUCUGCGGCCCCCCUCUGAACAGUGAGGAAGCAUUUGUGUGUGUUCUUCCAUGUGUUCUAGAUAUAAGAUUACUUGCCCCAGGACAAAGAUUAUCUUUGGAUUUGCUUUAAGUCUAGCACAGAGCCAAAUAUAUGAAAUGUUUAUAAAGAUGUUCAUAAAAAUGUCAAAGAGGGGACUUUCCUUCAUGCAAUGCUUGUCAUUUUUCAGCCUUAUUUUAGUUAUAGGUGAAGAACAAAGUGUUCAAUCAAUUUGCAUUCCCGUUUGUACUGAAGAAAAAAAACUGCAUGUAAGGACAUAAAUGUUUGACUAGUUGUACGUGAAGAACUCUUAUCUGGAAAGGAAGAUGACAAUGCUAAUGAUGAAUUCACGGAGGAAAUGCAUUAGAUAAAGCAGAUUGUCAUCUUUUGUUUCAAAUCAUGAAAGGGAUAGGGGACAUGCCUAACCAUAGUGUGUCAACCAGGAGGGUAUUUUACACGUUCUUAGAUAUGAUAUUAGUGAUUGAGACUGUUUCCCAGCAAGGCGUAACCACUGAUUAUUACCAAAAAAAAGUUCAGCUUUAUGAUAAAUGUACUGUAUGAACUCUAGCAUCUCUGCUGCAAUUGUUUCUUUGUGUGCAGCACAGCUAUGAUUAACCUUAUUGCCUGGCUACCUCCUGGAAUAUUAUGAAAGUCAGUGAUGUGAUAUUAGCAAAAGACAUCCAACUCUUAGUCUUCAGCUUCAAAGAAAAGCCUGAGCCAUCAGUGACAAGAAACAGAUGGUCUUACUGAAGGGCAGAGAAGGAGGCUGCAAAAUCUGUGGUGAGAAUGUCAAGCGAGAGGUUCCCAAAGCCCCCUCAUUCUGACAUCUCAGAAGCCUGUCUCUCAUUAAGAGACACAUGAACCCUUAGUUGGUGCUCAC